CGCACAUUGCGCCCGUUGGUAUUCCGACGGGCACGUCUGUUUGAGCGUCAUGUCAACACCUCGGCUUGACCGGUUGUGAGCCGGCGGCCCUCCCCAGGGAGGAGCCGGCUUCAAAGUUGCACGCUCCGCGGGUCAGUUUUUUUUCGCCCGGCUGAACAUGGUAGAAUAUGCUUCUGUUCUCCGUCCGGUUUUGCGAGAGCUGUCCGCCUGAAAACCAAAUCCUCUCAUGAGUUUUUGACCUCAGAUCAGACGAGGAUACCCGCUGAACUUAA
rnacentral:misc_RNA from 1 species